rnacentral:rRNA from 1 species
UAGGGAAUCUUCCGCAAUGGGCGAAAGCCUGACGGAGCAACGCCGCGUGAGUGAAGAAGGAUUUCGGUUCGUAAAGCUCUGUUGUUAGGGAAGAAUGAUUGUGUAGUAACUAUACACAGUAGAGACGGUACCUAACCAGAAAGCCACGGCUAACUACGUGCCAGCAGCCGCGGUAAUACGUAGGUGGCAAGCGUUGUCCGGAAUUAUUGGGCGUAAAGCGCGCGCAGGUGGUUUAAUAAGUCUGAUGUGAAAGCCCACGGCUCAACCGUGGAGGGUCAUUGGAAACUGUUAAACUUGAGUGCAGGAGAGAAAAGUGGAAUUCCUAGUGUAGCGGUGAAAUGCGUAGAGAUUAGGAGGAACACCAGUGGCGAAGGCGGCUUUUUGGCCUGUAACUGACACUGAGGCGCGAAAGCGUGGGGAGCAAACAGGAUUAGAUACCCUGGUAGUCCACGCCGUAAACGAUGAGUGCUAAGUGUUGGAUCCUUUCCGGGAUUCAGUGCCGCAGCUAACGCAUUAAGCACUCCGCCUGGGGAGUACGACCGCAAGGUUG